rnacentral:rRNA from 1 species
UACGGAGGGUGCGAGCGUUGUCCGGAAUCAUUGGGCGUAAAGGGCGCGUAGGUGGCGGGACAAGCGUGCGGUGAAAGCCUGGGGCUCAACCCCGGGUCGGCCGUGCGAACUGUUUUUUUUGCUUGAGCACUGUAGAGGCAGGCGGAAUUCCGGGUGUAGCGGUGGAAUGCGUAGAGAUCCGGAAGAACACCGGUGGCGAAGGCGGCCUGCUGGGCAGUAGCUGACACUGAGGCGCGACAGCGUGGGGAGCAAACAGG